CGGGCACAUCUUGAUGAUGUUGAUGUAAAGUUUCUGCUGGCUUGCAUCACUGAUCAGCCAGUGCCGAUGUACAUAACUUUGCAGCUAGAGAAAAUUCAGUCUGUCUGCAUAUGAGUUAUCGCGGGAGAUAACUCGAACGGGAUUUCGGAAACGAAUAAAAUGUUUGCAAGGGCUUACAAAAAAGAUGCACAUCAACCUGUAGCGCUUUAAAUUAUUAAUGAUAAUUAUUCCGAUCAUAUCUAAAUUACAAAAUCUGAUCUGAUCUACUGAUUUUUGGUAUAUUGCUCUAUGUAAAAUCAAGCACCAUCCUGACGGUUCUCAGUACCAAAAAUUUACGCAAUAUGUGACGUCAGCGGGAACGAGACUCGAGUACAAAGUGAAUGACAGAGCAUGACAAAAACAUCCCUACACGGAUAUGGAGUUGGUACUAUUUGGAUGGAGGUGUGAACAUGAUGACAUGCCUGUUGGCUGUAUAAAAGUCAAAAGAAGAGAAGAAAAGAUCCUUCCAUAUUUUUCCAGAGUGUCUUUCCGCCAUUAAUAGCAGAGAACCUUAAGUUUAAGACUCUUUGGAAAAGAUUUUAAAAGCAUGACAACCAACAACAUUCCGGAAGAAUUCAUGGAUGAAGUGGUAAGUAAUA